UACGAAGGUUGCAAGCGUUGUUCGAAAUCACUGGGCUUAAAGGGCGCGUAGGCGGAACUGAAAGUGUCUUGUGAAAUCCCCCGGCUCAACCGGGGAAUUGCUCGGCAAACUACAGUUCUUGAGUGAAGUAGGGGUGCAUGGAACUCUUGGUGGAGCGGUGGAAUGCGUAGAUAUCAAGAGGAACGCCGGUGGUGAAGACGGUGCACUGGACUUUUUCUGACGCUGAGGCGCGAAAGCGUGGGGAGCAAACAGG
rnacentral:rRNA from 1 species